rnacentral:rRNA from 1 species
GACGAACGCUGGCGGCGUGCUUAACACAUGCAAGUCGAGCGACGCUCUUCCUUCGGGGAGAUGACGGAGCGGCGAACGGGUGAGUAACACGUGGGCAACCUGCCCCUAGCUCUGGGACAACACCGGGAAACCGGUGCUAAUACCGGAUACGACAUCGAGCGGCAUCUCUCGAUGUGGAAAGUUUUUUCGGCUAGGGAUGGGCCCGCGGCCUAUCAGCUUGUUGGUGGGGUAAUGGCCCACCAAGGCGACGACGGGUAGCCGGCCUGAGAGGGCGACCGGCCAAACUGGGACUGAGACACGGCCCAGACUCCUACGGGAGGCAGCAGUGGGGAAUAUUGCGCAAUGGGCGAAAGCCUGACGCAGCGACGCCGCGUGAGGGAUGACGGCCUUCGGGUUGUAAACCUCUUUCAGCAGGGACGAAUUCAGACGGUACCUGCAGAAGAAGCACCGGCCAACUACGUG